UCCGUGCCCGGAUUCGACCCCUUUUAAGAAACCCUACUUCGUACUUGAUAAAAAUGAUAAUGCGGUGCGCGAAGCUUUGUUGCUCCGUAUAGCAGCUAGCCACCGCCUGAAUUCGACUGACUGAGCUGCCACGGCCGAGUCUACUCAGCAAUGUACACCAGAAGAGCUGCCUUGGUGACUGUUAAAUCUCUCAGACAACUAUCCAAGGUGUGUAGGGCAAGAGGCCCCGACUUUCCGUGUCAUGUAAGCGUCCUUGGUUUUGUUAGGAAUCUCGGAACUGCCACUGAAAGAUCGGAUAUUUACAGCAAUUUUGAUGGGAAUAUUGCUGAAAAUCACGCAGGUUGCAGUAACUACAAUCAAAAUGAUCGGUUUUACGGCGGGGAUUUAGGCGGAGUUCAGCAGCACCAAAACCCUAGUGGGGUUUAUGGGCAAAGCCUAAGUGGGCAGUAUGGUGAUUUGAAACCAGAUUUUCGAAACGAUUUUCAUGGUACUAAUGCUGAGAGUGACUUCAAUUAUAAUUCUGGUAAUCAAAAUGGUCGAUUUUAUGGUAGGAAUUUUAACGGAGUUGAGCAAAAACGAAUCCCGAAUCGGAUUCAUGGGCAGAAUUUCAAUGUGCAGCGUGGUAAUUUUGCAUCUGGAGAUGUGGGGAUUGGGCCUUAUAACGAGGUUCAACACAAUGCAAACUUUAAUGGUUAUGGUAGUGGGGGGAAUUUGGGGAUGCCACCAGAAGAUCAUGGUGGAGUUCAACAGCAGAAUUCAAGAGGACUGUUUGCUGGUCAGGAUAAUUUGCGAAGUUCUUAUGGUGUUAACGAAGAAAUGUCAAGACAAACUGUACAUAAUGCUGGAAUGCAUCAGCAAAACGGAGGUGGGAUUUAUUAUUCUAAUGCAGGGAACUACCAGCAAAGUUCGGCUGGAUCUCGUAAUGAUGGAAUAACUUAUUCUCAAGUACCAAGUGAUAUGCAAUCAAAUGAAGAAUCAGUUGAAGCUACUGGAGGGAAUCAAGUCAGAAGCAAAAUAGAGGAUCUUGAUGAAUUUACCAAGGAAGGAAAGUUAAAGGAGGCGGUGGAUCUUUUGGAACUGCUGCAGAAGGAGGGUGUCCAAGUUGAGUUGCCUCGGUACGUGGCGUUGAUGAAAGCCUGUAGUGCGAAUCAGGCUUUGGAAGAGGCCAAAUCUGUCCACGAGCACUUGUUGAAGUCCAUGCCGCACCUUGAAGUCAGAACAUACAAUAGGAUUCUUGAGAUGUAUUCUAAUUGUGGUUCCAUGGAGGAUGCAUUUGCAGUCUUUGGUCAAAUGCCAAAACGUAAUUUGACAACUUGGGACAUUAUGAUAUCUGGGUUUGCGAAGAAUGGUCAUGGAGAAGAUUCUGUUGAAUUAUUUGAGGAAUUCAAAAGAUCUGGAUUGAAGCCUGAUGGACAAAUGUUUCUUGGGGUCUUUUCUGCAUGUGGUGUCUUAUGUGAUAUUGUUGAGGGAAUGUUGCACUUUGAGUCAAUGACGAAGGAUUAUGGAAUCGUUCCCACUAUGGAGCACUAUGUUAGCAUGGUGGACAUGCUGGGAAGUGCAGGAUGCUUGAAUGAAGCUUUAGAAUUCAUUGAAAAGAUGCCAGUUGAACCCGGCGUAGAUAUUUGGUUAACCUUGAUGAAGUUCUGUAGAAUUCAUGGAAAUAUGGAGCUUGGGGACCGAUGUGCUGAGCUCGUUGAGCUUCUGGAUCCCUCACGACUGAAUGAGCAAUCAAGGGCCGGCCUCAUACCAAUAAAUCCAUCAGAUCUUGCAAGAGAGAAAGAGAAAAAGAAAUUGAGUGGCCAGAAUCUCCUAGAUGUUAGAAGUAGAGUCCAUGAAUAUAGAGCAGGAGAUAGAUCCCACCCUGAUCAUGAAAGGAUAUAUGCUUUGCUUAAUGGGUUGAAGCAGCAGAUGAAAGAGGUUGGUUAUGUGCCAGAGACCAAAUUUGUGCUCCAUGAUGUUGACCAGGAAGUGAAAGAGGAAGCUCUUAUGGCUCAUAGCGAGAGACUUGCUGCUGCACAAGGUUUCUUGACUAGUGCAGCUCGUUCUCCUCUGCGCAUAAUUAAGAACCUUCGUGUUUGUGGCGAUUGCCACAAUGCAUUUAAGAUUAUCUCAAAGAUAGUUGGCCGGGAAAUUAUUGCACGCGAUAGCAAGAGAUUUCAUCAUUUUAGAGAUGGAUCAUGUAGUUGUAAUGAUUAUUGGUGAAGUUGACCUGAUUUUUUGAGGUUUUGAUGUGGGAUCACAUCCCAUCAACGUGAUGUUCCAAUACAUGUCUGCUUGGGUCUCUGUGCAUUGAUGUUUCUCAGACUUUCUGGUUGAAGCGACCGAGUUCUACAUUCCAGAUUUGAUACUGUAAUAGCUCAGAGGUGACUGGCAGAGUUGAAGCUUAGUCAAGGUGCACUCCACUUUCUUUUGGAUAUACUCCAGUUUUGCAAGUUCGUUUAUCACCUC